rnacentral:lncRNA from 1 species
UUUUGAACUCUUUGCUAUCUGAAUACGGACUAUUUCAGAUCUCUUAUAACACACAUAAAGAUAAAUGGUCAAUUAAUAAAUUACUGACCAUGUAUGUGCAAAAGAAAGGCAGAUUAAUGCAAGAGAAAUAAAAUGCAGUUAAGUUUGUUUCUCAGAAGAGACAAAUAAAGCGUGCUAAGAAUGAUAAUGGCAAGAAUGACUCAAAAUUAUCUAGUUCACAAGGCCAAUCAAGUAAUUGGACUUCCAAAUGCUUCUUUU